rnacentral:rRNA from 1 species
AUACGGAGGUGGCUAGCGUUGUUCGGAAUUACUGGGCGUAAAGCGUACGUAGGCGGACUGAUCAGUUGGGGGUGAAAUCCCAGGGCUUAACCCUGGAACUGCCUUCAAUACUGUCAGUCUUGAGUUUGGGAGAGGUGAGUGGAAUUCCUAGUGUAGAGGUGAAAUUCAUAGAUAUUAGGAGGAACACCAGUGGAGAAGGCGGCUCACUGGCCCAUUACUGACGCUGAGGUACGAAAGCGUGGGGAGCAAACAGGAUUAGAAACCCUAGUAGUCC